AUUGAACGCUGGCGGCAUGCUUUACACAUGAAAGUCGAACGGCAGCGCGGGCUUCGGCCUGGCGGCGAGUGGCGAACGGGUGAGUAAUGCAUCGGAACGUGCCCAGUAGUGGGGGAUAGGCCGGCGAAAGCCGGAUUAAUACCGCAUACGACCUGAGGGUGAAAGCGGGGGACCGAAAGGCCUCGCGCUAUUGGAGCGGCCGAUGUCGGAUUAGCUAGUUGGUGGGGUAAAGGCUUACCAAGGCGACGAUCCGUAGCUGGUCUGAGAGGACGACCAGCCACACUGGGACUGAGACACGGCCCAGACUCCUACGGGAGGCAGCAGUGGGGAAUUUUGGACAAUGGGGGCAACCCUGAUCCAGCCAUGCCGCGUGCGGGAAGAAGGCCUUCGGGUUGUAAACCGCUUUUGUUCGGGAAGAAAUCCUCUGGGCUAAUACCCCGGGGGGAUGACGGUACCGGAAGAAUAAGCACCGGCUAACUACGUG
rnacentral:rRNA from 1 species